AUUAUGGUAUAGAAUUUCUCUGAUACUGUAGGGUGGAUCUUAUGUUCAGUUGUAUGGCUGCUGAUUUAAAUGGCUGCUGGAAUGUGGCUCAAAAUCCACCCAGGGAUAGUUGUGGCAAUCAUGAUAAGUGGGAUGCCUUAAUCUAGAAACAGUGUGUGAUGCAGCAUGAAGCAAGUUUCUCGCUACAAAUGUUGCAUAACUUGCUGUUUAUGACUGAUUUCCUGAAAUGCAUGGAAAUUUGAGAGGCCUGUACUUUACUCUUUGCAUUGCAUAUUGAUAUAUAGGCCAUGAAGGUAUACUGCAACCUGUUCACAUAGCUGAGGCAUUUUGACAUACUCCAAGUUUCCAUGCAUUGUAUUCAUGGCUUGUGUCCAGUUCAAGGAAAGUCCUCCUACUGCUGGGGGGAGGGGGGAAGCUGAAGGUAAGGUUGCUGCUGUAUUGUGGUAAUGGGAAAACUGGUGUUGCAGAGCUUCAGAAACAGCACAGAACUACUAAAAAAUGUUACAAGCUGCAAAGAGGCUUGCUAGAACUUCUUUUGCAGUCCUGCUGGUGAGCUGAAAUACACACUGUUGCUGUGUUUGGAAAGCAAAUGUUAAUGUGUUGUCACAAACUAGCAUUCCAGUUCAUUUAAAAACAACAACAAAUAUCUUUCCAAGUACUACUUCUGUUUUAAUGACAGCUCUCUAGAAUUCAGUUGGGUGGCUGGCUUGAGCCACUACUGGGAAUGAAUAAAGAUGUCUUUUAACAGUGUAGUACUCUAUGGAUAAGUUCAGCUGUGCUUUUAAUAGAUGAGUGUUUAUCUGGGAGUUUAGUCUAGGUUAGUGUUGGGUCUUGUGAUGUGCUCUGAGUAUUUGAACAGUACAAACUUUCCGUAGCCACUUCUUUAUUUCUGUCUUCAUAAGAAGGCUGCUGCCUUGUUUUGUGAUGAUCUACUGCUUUAUUAUGGGUCUUGAGCUGAAUUUUGAUUGUUUCAAAAUGCUCUGCUUCUAUUGAAGUAUCCCACACCUUCAGGAAGCAGCUCCCUUUCAUCCAACUUUCAUCCAAAGUGCUUUGUGCAGUGAUCCAUCUUGAUGGGAUUUGUGCAUGUGGUACUUUCCUGGGACAGCCUGGGAGGCAACCAGACAGGGUGCCCCUUCCUUGGAGUCCUUAAUUUGGAUUUCUGCCUGACACUGUGCUCCUCUGGGCUUCAGAAUUGGGCCUUUGAUAGAGCAGAUGACUCCCGUGAGAUGGGCCUGGGUGUGGUUUGGUAUUUGUCUUCUGUGCCACUUUCCCUCAUCUCUGUGCUGGUGUGCAGAUGAGUUGAUAUUGUGUGACUUAACAUAGAAGAAUAACAAAACUAGAUGCUCAUUCCCCUUAUGUCCCCUUAGCUGCCUGUGGGGAAACCCUGUACACCCUUUCAAUAAAGAGGGGGAAAAAUGUGGGGCAGCAGCAGAGAUUCGUGUGACAUUAAGGAGAAUGUGAGAACAAGGAGGAGUUGAUGUCUUUGAAAAAAUUUGUUAAUCUACUGUGCUCAGAGCUUUCUCUGUCACCUUCUCUGGAAACAAGGUUGCUGCCAGGGAUCAUGUUCUAGUGGCAGGAGGGAACUGCAGCGCUGCAGUCAGCAGUGGAAGAUGAGCAUGGCACUGGUUUUUGCAUGACAGUCUUGAGUAUUACUUUCAUGUCUUAUGGGAAAUCACAAGUUUCUUUACAUGUAGGACUUGUACCUGGAGGAAAAAAAAAACAACCUGUUGAUCUCAAGUCCUUAGUGGAAUUUCCUGUUCAUACUAUUGAAUGCCAUACUGUGUUUUCAAGCCUGUGCAUUGUACUUUUAAUAUGUUGACUCCUAGUGCACUGGAAUAUUCUGCUUUGGCUCUGAAUUCUGUGGUCAGGGUUUGGUUUUCUUCUGAAUUAACUCCUCAUCCUGCGUACAAAACUCGUGAGGUGUUUCCAUGAAGCAAAAAGCAGAUCUUUUCUUGCCUCGUUUAUGUUGAAGCAAGGAACUUGCUAAGGGAAUCCAAAUCUCUUGGUCCACGUGCCCAGUGUGUUGUCCUUCUGAUAUUCCAUCUCCUGUUCUGGAAUUUUUAAUAUUCAAACUGAACAUGACAGCUUCACAAAAACACAAUUCACUUCAGCUCUUCCCUCACGUUCCAUGUUGUUUUGUUCAUGUUUGUGAUGCCUCUGCUUUCUUUUUUUAAGAAUAUAUUCACUAAGGGUCAAGAAAAGCAAAAUGAUGAAACGGCAGCUGCUUUUAAAGAGUUAGCUUGCUUUGUUCUGAUAUCUCCCCUGUUGCUCACCAGGUUCUGUGUUGUGGGCAGCUGACUGAUACCAGAAACUUACACAAGACUUGGAUUUGCAUUUGGAGCACUGUAGGCAUGUUUGCAGUGCUACACAGGUGUCAACACUAAGCAGGUGUAUACUUUACUCUCAGACUAGUCCCUGCAGAACUAGUGUUGGUGUGCUUUAUGCUACUUUGAAUUUGGAGUCCUUUGGGGCUUUCUAUAGUUGAUCUUAUCUGUGAUGGUAAAUGGAAAGUUCCACUCAGUCCUGUCUUGUUGCAUUUAGAGUGAUGUGAGGUGGUACGUUUGCAGUGGGCUAUCUUUUUUCUUCAGUUAAGAGUGUUUGGGUAAAGCGAGCAGUAGGGACAUCGUGUUCUGUCCUUAUUUAAAUGCAAGUUUAACUGUUGGGGCUUUCUCUCCUCAUUGUGAAAGCAGUGAUGUGUGCUGCCUCUGCUGUUGUGCAUUAACUUGGAAGUGAAGUUCUUGCAUGUAUAUAAAUAUUCUGGGUUAUUUUGUCUGCAGCUGGCAUAUCUCUAGGAAAGGAGGAGGGAGGUUUUAGUUCUCCUAACAGGAAAGGUUCAAACUGUGGACGAGGUUAGUUAACACAAAGAGCUCAAUGCUGAAGGAAUGAAGAGUGAGACAAGUGUUGUCCUCAGAAUGCCAGGCUGAGGGCAGUGUGUGCAAGCACAGUGCACCUGCACAUGCAGCUGAUGCUGUACCAGGCAACUGGGAGAAGCACUGCAUGUUCUUCACAAGAGAGAAAAUUGGACAAAAAUCUAAUGUGAUGUUAAACUGUUUUCAAGAUGCAUCACUAAAGUCAAUCAGCUUAAGUACAGGGUUGCCACAUAAUACAGUCGAUUUCAGGUUCUGGUACCUUAGAAGUGUUUUCUCCUUCACUCUUUCUGAGUAUCUCUUCACGUUAAUUCCCACCUAGGCUUGUGGGUAACAGCAGUACCUCUGUAAAAUGCUCUUGUCCUGGAAUGACUUGUACACGUGGUUAGCUGCUGCCUCCUCAGUUUGGUUCUAAAUUAUUACUUACUUACCCCUGUUCAGUCUCAAACCAGACUCAAAUUGAUAGCAAUUGGAAACUGUUCAUCUUCUGUUUUGCAAAUGGAGAGGUUAUCCCAUUCUGUGUGUAACAAUCGUAAGUUACGCUUCCAUGCUCGUAUUUCUUGGGGAAUGAUUUCUCAAUUAAUUUAACUAAGCUGUAGGGAUUAGAUUUGUGAGUGCUCCUUGGGACAUGAGAAAUAUCCAGGGGGGAGUGUUCAGCCAUGUGACGUGUGAAAUACCAAAGGGGCAGGCUGGAAGGUUUCUCUCCAGCCAAAUAGUAAACUUCAGAGAAAAAGGGAGCGGGAAUGUAAGCAAACCUGAGCGAGUGAGUGUUGAGCUCUGUGGCUGGCAAUUAAUAAAGCAGAGAGAAUGAAUGAACCGGAGGUCCAAGAUUUCCAUACAUCUGACCUCAGGAAGCUUACACUGAAGAAAGUGAAUGUUUGGCCAGGCACUGGAAGGAGAAGCGGUGGCUCUAAAGCUUCCUUUUCUUGCCCACAUGUCUUUCUCUGUCUCUCCUUGUUCUGCUGGGUAGGCAGUCUUCUGGGGCAUCCUCAGUGUCUGGAUUAUGGGCCACCUUUCCAGCCUCCUUUUCACCUGGAGUUCUGCUCUGCCUAUGAAAACUUUGGCUGCUGUGACCGGGAGAGAGACAAUAGUAUUGCAGCAAAAUACCAUGAGAUCCUGGAUUAUAUUGAUCCUCGGGGGCAUAAGCUGUGUGGAACAUAUAUCAAAGAUAUUCUCUGUCAGGAAUGUUCUCCAUAUGCUGCACAUCUCUAUGAUGCUGAAAACCCAAGGACACCUCUCAGAUACCUUCCAGGACUUUGUUUCGACUAUUGCUCUGAGUUUCAUUUCAAUUGCCGCUCUGCCAUCAGCUUGCUCACUAGUGAUAAGCACAUUCAAGAAUGCUGUGAGACCAAUAAGACUCGCUUCUGCAACCUCCUUCGCCUGCAUGACGAGGACUACUGCUUCCCCAACGUGCUGAGGAACACAGCCCUCAACCGCAACCUGGGCUCAGUGGUGGAGGACCGCAGAGGCUGCCUCCAGCUCUGCCUUACUGAGGUUGCCAAUGGCCUGAGGAACCCGGUCCUCAUGCUGCAUGCCAACGACCGGACCCACCGUAUGUUUGUAGCUGAGCAGGUGGGGGUCAUCUGGGUCUACCUACCUGAUGGCAGCCGGCUGGAGGAGCCAUUUCUGGAUAUUAAAAGUAUCGUGCUGGCAACGCCGUGGAUAGGGGAUGAGAGGGGCUUUCUGGGGAUGGCUUUCCACCCCAACUACAAGAACAACGGGAAAUUUUAUAUCUAUUACUCGUAUAUGGAUAAGAAGCAAGUGGAAAAGAUCAGAAUCAGUGAACUGAAGGUUUUGGCCUCUGAUGCCAACAAAGCAGAUCCACACUCAGAAAGGAAUCUUUUGGAACUUGAAGAACCAGCUGCAAAUCAUAAUGGUGGGCAACUGCUCUUUGGUGUGGAUGGCUAUCUGUAUCUAUUCAUAGGGGAUGGAGGAAAAGCUGGAGACCCUUUUGGGAAAUUUGGGAAUGCUCAGAACAAGAGUGUUUUGCUGGGGAAAGUCUUGAGGAUUGAUGUGGAUGGAAGAAGUCCUGAUGGCAAGCCUUAUCGCAUCCCUCCCGAUAACCCUUUUGUGUCUGAUCUCAAGGCUCGCCCUGAAGUUUAUGCUUAUGGAGUCAGGAAUAUGUGGCGCUGUGCAGUUGACCGGGGGGAUCCUGUCACAAAAAAGGGAAGAGGGAGGAUAUUCUGUGGGGAUGUUGGACAGAACAGGUUUGAAGAAGUCGACAUAAUUGUUAAAGGAGGAAACUAUGGCUGGAGAGCAAAAGAAGGAUUUGAAUGCUAUGACACAAAGCUUUGCCAUAAUUCCUCCUUGGAUGAUAUUCUUCCAAUAUUUGCUUAUGGCCGCAAUGUGGGGAAGUCUGUCACUGGAGGUUAUGUAUACAGAGGAUGUGAAUCACCCAACCUGAAUGGCCUCUAUAUCUUCGGUGAUUUCAUGAAUGGUCGACUUAUGGCUUUACGGGAAGAUGAGAAGACAAAUAGGUGGAAGAAUCAAGAUAUCUGCAUUGGUAGCACAAAAGCUUGUGCUUUCCCUGGGAUGAUCAGAUCUUAUAAUAAAUUCAUCAUCUCAUUUGCUGAGGAUGAAGCAGGUGAGCUGUAUUUUAUGUCCACUUCUUAUCCCAGUGCCUAUGCGCCACAUGGAUCUCUUUACAAAUUUGUUGAUCCUGCAAGGUUUAGCUACAAUUCCUCUUAACAAAGAGAAGUGAAACCUGGCAGUUCAUGCAGCGUUCAAACAGUUGGAGUGUGAACCAGAGUUUUCCAAGCAAAAUGUUUUUCCACAUUAUGCGAGCUCCACCAGGGAAAUGUAAAUACAAGCCCGUAACAGUGAAAAUAAAGAGCAAACGGAUAGCAUUUGUUCCACGUGCAA